CACGUAGGGUGCGAGCGUUGUCCGGAAUUAUUGGGCGUAAAGGGCGCGUAGGCGGCUCGAUAAGUCAAAGGUGAAAUCCCUCGGCUCAACUGAGGAACUGCCUUUGAAACUGUCGGGCUUGAGACCGGGAGGGGGUGGCGGAAUUCCCAGUGUAGCGGUGAAAUGCGUAGAUAUUGGGAGGAACACCAGUGGCGAAGGCGGCCACCUGGACCGGUUCUGACGCUGAUGCGCGAAAGCGUGGGUAGCAAACAGG
rnacentral:rRNA from 1 species